GAUGAACGCUGGCGGCGUGCCUAAUACAUGCAAGUCGAGCGAACAGACGAGGAGCUUGCUCCUUUGACGUUAGCGGCGGACGGGUGAGUAACACGUAGGUAACCUACCUAUAAGACUGGGAUAACUUCGGGAAACCGGAGCUAAUACCGGAUAAUAUUUCGAACCGCAUGGUUGGUUAGUGAAAGUUGGCUUUGCUAUCACUUAUAGAUGGACCUGCGCCGUAUUAGCUAGUUGGUAAGGUAACGGCUUACCAAGGCAAGGAUACGUAGCCGACCUGAGAGGGUGAUCGGCCACACUGGAACUGAGACACGGUCCAGACUCCUACGGGAGGCAGCAGUAGGGAAUCUUCCGCAAUGGGCGAAAGCCUGACGGAGCAACGCCGCGUGAGUGAUGAAGGUCUUCGGAUCGUAAAACUCUGUUAUUAGGGAAGAACAAACGUGUAAGUAACUGUGCACGUCUUGACGGUACCUAAUCAGAAAGCCACGGCUAACUACGUG
rnacentral:rRNA from 1 species